rnacentral:rRNA from 1 species
UACGGAGGGUGCAAGCGUUGUCCGGAUUUAUUGGGUUUAAAGGGUGCGUAGGCGGCCCUGUAAGUCAGUGGUGAAAUACUGCAGCUUAACUGUAGCAUUGCCAUUGAUACUGUAGGGCUUGAGUACAGAUGAGGUAGGCGGAAUUGAUGGUGUAGCGGUGAAAUGCAUAGAUACCAUCAAGAACACCGAUUGCGAAGGCAGCUUACUAAGCUGUAACUGACGCUGAGGC